rnacentral:rRNA from 1 species
AUUGAACGCUGGCGGCAUGCCUUACACAUGCAAGUCGAACGGUAACGGGCCUUCGGGUGCCGACGAGUGGCGAACGGAUGAGUAAUACAUCGGAACGUGCCCGAUCGUGGGGGAUAACGAGGCGAAAGCUUUGCUAAUACCGCAUACGAUCUACGGAUGAAAGCAGGGGACCGCAAGGCCUUGCGCGGACGGAGCGGCCGAUGGCAGAUUAGGUAGUUGGUGGGAUAAAAGCUUACCAAGCCGACGAUCUGUAGCUGGUCUGAGAGGAUGAUCAGCCACACUGGGACUGAGACACGGCCCAGACUCCUACGGGAGGCAGCAGUGGGGAAUUUUGGACAAUGGGCGCAAGCCUGAUCCAGCCAUGCCGCGUGCAGGAUGAAGGCCUUCGGGUUGUAAACUGCUUUUGUACGGAACGAAAAGCCUUCUUUUAAUACAGGAGGGUCAUGACGGUACCGUAAGAAUAAGCACCGGCUAACUACGUG